GGGUUCAGGCCGAGAUUCCGGCAACACAGUGAAGAAACUUAUUGAGAUAGGGUAAAGUUCAUCGAUGAUGGUUGUAGGGGUAAACGUCAAGAACAAUCCAACGAUUGAGACCAAGCGUUUGUUUAAAUGUCUCAAUGAAAGUUUGGAUUGAACAUCAUCAAAAUGGUAUGUUGCAUUCUUGAAUACUGCCUCACGUAUAUGUAGAAAAAAAUAGUAUUUUGUUCUAAAUGGUUAAUUUCCAUGAACAUCCUGUUUAAUUUGAAUGUUUUUAAUUGACUGCUUUAAAC
rnacentral:lncRNA from 1 species